GGCUUACCUCCUCAGUUAUGCGUCAUGACUUGUAUCGUCUUGAGCGUAUUGUGGGUUUCCUGUGUUGCAUACCUUUCUAAUGGUAUCGUGUUGAUUGAUCGAAGUCCCUUUUCAUCUUGUGUUGCUUUUUGCGACGCAUGAUGAACCUCGAGGCGGUCUCUAUGUUCCACCACGUUGAUGCUAGCGUUUUGAUGUUGUGGCCCAUUGAGUGUUGCUUGGUUUCGUGGAUACAGAACAUGAUUUGGGCAUAGGGUUACUUGUGACUCUUGUUUUGUCCUUUAUCAGUGUUCUUUAUAACGACGGUUCAUGCGCGCCUAGGCUCGUACCUGCGCGAUGUUCUUUGUCGAAGAGGAAUGC
rnacentral:misc_RNA from 1 species